AGCCCUAUAGUCAAAAAUGAUAUUAAAUUGCAAAUUUAAAGGAAACGGAUAGUUUAAGGCUU
rnacentral:tRNA from 1 species